rnacentral:rRNA from 1 species
GAUGAACGCUGGCGGCGUGCCUAAUACAUGCAAGUCGAGCGAACAGACGAGGAGCUUGCUCCUUUGACGUUAGCGGCGGACGGGUGAGUAACACGUGGGUAACCUACCUAUAAGACUGGGAUAACUUCGGGACACCGGAGCUAAUACCGGAUAAUAUUUCGAACCGCAUGGUUCGAUAGUGAAAGAUGGCUUUGCUAUCACUUAUAGAUGGACCUGCGCCGUAUUAGCUAGUUGGUAAGGUAACGGCUUACCAAGGCAACGAUACGUAGCCGACCUGAGAGGGUGAUCGGCCACACUGGAACUGAGACACGGUCCAGACUCCUACGGGAGGCAGCAGUAGGGAAUCUUCCGCAAUGGGCGAAAGCCUGACGGAGCAACGCCGCGUGAGUGAUGAAGGUCUUCGGAUCGUAAAACUCUGUUAUUAGGGAAGAACAAACGUGUAAGUAACUGUGCACGUCUUGACGGUACCUAAUCAGAAAGCCACGGCUAACUACGUG